rnacentral:rRNA from 1 species
ACGGGUGAGUAAUGUCUGGGGAUCUGCCCGAUGGAGGGGGAUAACCACUGGAAACGGUGGCUAAUACCGCAUAACGUCGCAAGACCAAAGUGGGGGACCUUCGGGCCUCACACCAUCGGAUGAACCCAGAUGGGAUUAGCUAGUAGGUGGGGUAAUGGCUCACCUAGGCGACGAUCCCUAGCUGGUCUGAGAGGAUGACCAGCCACACUGGAACUGAGACACGGUCCAGACUCCUACGGGAGGCAGCAGUGGGGAAUAUUGCACAAUGGGCGCAAGCCUGAUGCAGCCAUGCCGCGUGUGUGAAGGAGGCCUUCGGGUUGUAAAGCACUUUCAGCGAGGAGGAAGGUGGUGAGCUUAAUACGCUCAUCAAUUGACGUUACUCGCAGAAGAAGCACCGGCUAACUCCGUGCCAGCAGCCGCGGUAAUACGGAGGGUGCAAGCGUUAAUCGAAAUUACUGGGCGUAAAGCGCACGCAGGCGGUUUGUUAAGUCAGAUGUGAAAUCCCCGAGCUUAACUUGGGAACUGCAUUUGAAACUGGCAGGCUAGAGUCUCGUAGAGGGGGGUAGAAUUCCAGGUGUAGCGGUGAAAUGCGUAGAGAUCUGGAGGAAUACCGGUGGCGAAGGCGGCCCCCUGGACGAAGACUGACGCUCAGGUGCGAAAGCGUGGGGAGCAAACAGGAUUAGAUACCCUGGUAGUCCACGCCGUAAACGAUGUCGAUUUGGAGGCUGUGCCCUUGAGGCGUGGCUUCCGGAGCUAACGCGUUAAAUCGACCGCCUGGGGAGUACGGCCGCAAGGUUAAAACUCAAAUGAAUUGACGGGGGCCCG